rnacentral:tRNA from 1 species
AGGGAUUUAGCUUAGUGGCAUAAGUGCCUGCCUGGCAAGCAUGAGGUCAUGAGUUCAAUUCCUG